AGGCUACCCAUUAUCAUAAGUGUCUAAUUGUGGGCGCUUAUCAGUGGGCGCACUAGCGCUGACCGCGUCGUUGACAGCGCUGUCGCUGCUUACAAAAGUACGCACACAAACAAUUGGCAUCCAAUCAGCAAUCGUUUGGCAUAUUCGUCAAGUUCAAUUGGGCCGAAGAAGCGAUAAGCGUGUGUUAAGUGCACGUAUGUUUGUACGUAAGUGCCUACGUUGAGGAAUGUAUGGUGAACUUGUUCUUCUGAUAAUAAUUAUGCGACUGACUAUGCGCAGUGGGUGAGAGCACUCAUAAUGCCAACGCGUAUGUAGUGGAAAGUGGUAAUAUGAAUUUGCAAACGUUUCAAGAAGCUUUUGGCAGUUACUGAUAAAACUCAUCACUUGAACCGAAUGUGAAAUCUCGUACACUGCUGUGAUAUUCGGUCGAAGUAUAAGUGAUUUCUUUAAAUUUAUUCACCUUUUUUGGAAGGAUAGGUUGACGAGUAUCUGAGCUAAUCUAUAGAACCGUCGCACAUAGGAGCAUUUACCCUCAAAAACCGGACAAAAUUGAAAAUUACAAAAUUCACCGAUCUACAAUGAACCGAUUAAAUGAAUGACCUUCAGGCCGCUAUAUUGCCACACAAGUAGUCGAAACCUAGACUUCGUUCAGAAUGCACAUGAUUAUUCGCGAAACUCUCCAUUGUUCUCGAGAUUGUAAGUGGUUUUUUUUAUGUGUGAACGGAAUUCUUGGAAAUAUUUGUUAUGGAUUCAGGACAGCAUGCUUUCAUAGUGAUAGAACACAUUUGCUUCGCUUUGCAUUCCUUUGUGGAAAUAUAGCAUUGUCAAUCACGUGCCUACCUUUUUACCGCCCCCUUUCCGCUACUGCAUAUCACCGCAAUAGAAUAAUAUAAACAUUUUGGAGAUUUUGUAUUUAUCACAUACAUAUUUAUGUAUUUAUUAUUGUUGUUGGCAAAUGAAAAUAAAUAUUUUUGUAAAUUGUGGAAAGGCGAAAAGUUUACGUUUUAUUACAUUUCUCUAAUGUUGUUGCAGCAAAUUCUCAACAUUUUGAAAAUUUGAGUAUGUUUCCGUUGAGGUAAGUAACUAAGUGGGCGCCCAUUCAAGUGGUCGCGCAAUAGUCGCCAAAAGGUGAGGUAAAUAAAUGUGUUACUCAUACUAUUCAAAGAAACUGACUCAAUGAUGAGAGUCGAAUCAGAAUUUGUUUUACUUCUUUGAUUACAAUUAGUGUAAAUACAAAAGUUAUGCGGUAAUAAUAUUUCAGUGCUUUCCACCUAAUUACAUUGUGAAAACUUACGGGUAUGGGAUUGAGGAAAACGGAGAUCCCAGUCACCAAUUAACUUAUGUUGGCAUUCUGAAGAGUCGAUCUCGAUUUCAACAUAUUAAAACCCGUACUAUUCAAAGACGCGUUUACAGAAGUAGGAACUAGAGAUGUAGCAAAGUAAUAUUCCAUGUUAAAGGGAUUCGUAUUUGAUCAAUAAUGACUUAAUUUUUUUCUUGUUUGGGAGUUGAGAUCGAUUCGGAACACCAUAUGAAGCUAGAACUUUCACAACUUUGCCUAGCAAUACUAUAAUAACUAGUAAAGUGUUUAGAACUUCCUGGUCGCUAUGUGCAGGUCCUAUUCAGCUAUAUGGAGGCCUUUUAAAGAUAAAAAACUGAAACUCUACUCAUAGUAUUACAUAUAUGAUAAUGUUCUGAUAUUCACGUAUUUUUUAAAAGACUUUUAGCGUUUAAAUUUUGUUCGUAAAGAUAUGAAUUUAAUUUUCAAUCGUGUUAUACUAUAUAAAGACGACGGUGCUAAAAUGUUGGUUGCUGCGGUCAAUGAUAUUGAUAUUGAUCAAUUAUUGGCUCAUACUACUACACCUACUAUAUAUAUACUAUAUAAAUAUUUCUGCAUUGAUUGCGAACUCUGGCAUAUCUAUGAAUAAGUGCUCAUCUACUCAAAGGCAAAAGAUAAAUCUGCUGCUCUGUCGGUGUCGGUUAAUUUUUAUAAUAAUUUUAUCUAUAACAAUGUACUUGUGGGUGUAUUUAUGUAGUUGAAACGAUAAUCCUGAUCUUCUGGUAAAUCCCCUUAGAUUAUGUAUUAAAAAAUAAUAAUAAGAAUCAUUAUCAAUUUACAAAAGUCUCUCGAUAUAUCUCUCUGAGGCAUUUAAUAAUUCAAAUACAGAAUGAUUACAUUUUCUAUACUGAGCAUAAUAUGAAUGUAGUACUUCUUACUUCAAAUAUCAUAACUUUGAGGAUCAUAUAUUUAUAACAUGCGGUAGGAACCUUUUCUAAAAGUUUCAUGCGCUGUCUGAAAGAUUUCUCUUGAAAGCUUAUUACUGAUUAGAUACAAUGUAUUCAUCAGAUUAGUCUUACAUUCCUAGAAUCAAACUCUGGGAUUCAAAUCCAAAUAAAGCUACGUAGUAACAAUUUCAAUCACACGUUACGUGCGUUUUUAUGCGAAUAUUUGUUUAUAACAUUUUCCAAACGCAAUAUAAUAUUGUUCCAUGGUGUUAUUUAAAAAUAAUUACCCCAAAAAAAUGUGAAUACAAACCGGUUAAUGGUUCUAGAGAAUUUACAAAGCCACUGGUAUAUUAAUGAAACGAACUAUGUUGACCUUUUCUAAAUGUUAUGAAAUGCAAAUCUUCGAUUUCGUUUUAAUCAAAAAAAAAAAAACGCUAAUUUUAAUCGAUUUUAAAUUUUAUUUUAUUUUUGCAUGAAUGUCUAAAAUGGUCAUUAAUUGAGUAAAUAUAGAUGAUUAAUGUUCUCAACGUAUCAAAACAAAUAGACUUAAAAUUUGUUAAUAUUUAAAUAUAGAAAGUAUUUGUGAUCUCGUAAGAAGUUUCUAUAUAAAAAUUUGCAAUAAAAACCAGUUAAUAAAUUAAAAAUAUAUAAAAAAUUACUUGAAUGUUAUCAUAAUAUUUAUAUUUAUUUAAAUAUAAAAAUAUAAAAAAAAUCAAAAAGAUUACUUGCCUCGGACUACUCAAAGGUUCGUGAUUGAAAAUUACAAUUGAUUAUAAAAAAGUUUUUUUUAGAUAUAUUAAGCCAUUUAUUUCAGAAAUUAUUUUCCCCAAAAUCAUUCAGCCAUAGGUUUUAAAUUAAUAUUCUUCGCCAUUUGUCAGAUAUAAUCAAGCUACUCGCGACCAAUUAGCAUAAAAAAAAAAUAAAAUAUAAAAAAAGCUAUUUCAGCUGGUAUGGACUCUAGUAUGAAAGGUUUAAUAAUUAACAAAGUAGCAACCAAGUAAAUAUAAAUCCAAGACUAUACGCUCACUUGAUUUUUCAAAGAUAUCUCACAUGUUAACCAAUAUAUAUGGUAUAAAGCCUACCGGCUGUAUGAAACUCCUUAUAUUAGGUAUGUAAAGCUAAGGGAAGUUAUGAUCCGAUUUCACUCAUUUUUGGCACAGAGACACACUCUUAGAAGAUAAAGAUUCCAUCUUAAUUUCUUUAAAAUAUUUGAGAGGUUUACCGAUAUUUUCGGUGAAAAAUUAGCCUUAGGCAUUGAGUUCUUCAUGUUCGAUGUCAGAGACCUUGAAAAGUUAUAGUCCGAUAUCGAUAAUUUUACCAUACCAUGUCACAGCUCAAAUACUUUAUUUGCGUAAAGUUUUAUUCCGCUAUCUUCCCUAUUUCAUGAUGUGUAUAUUGUAAAGAGUACGAAUCAGAUGGAAUUCAAAAUUGUCUUCUAUGGGAAGUAGGCGAAGUAUGGUCCUCUGUACAGAGGGAUAGGCGGAUUUCAACUCAAAUAAUAAUAAUAAUAAUACCAAAUAAUUUAUAUUUUUUAUUCCGUGAUUGCUAUAUUCAGCUUUUGUGUUUAUCGGCACUACCAUUCACUUUGACAAUCGCAACUGUUUUCUAACAUUUUAUGUAUGUAAGUAAGUUGAAGUGCUGUUUAUUAUUUUUUAACAAUGAAGGCAAGUGAUUUAAUUUUAUUUUUAUUUACGUCGAUAUAAAUGUUACUUAAUAAAGUAAAAGUGGAAUUCCUUCCUAUAUACAUCACAUACAAUUGUAAAUAAUAAUAUUGUAUAAACAUAUGUAAAAGUGUUAAAGCAAACACAAAACGAGUGUUUUUAUUGCCGUUUUCCUCCAUUUGCCAAAUUGCUACUUACCCAUUGUGCUUUCAUACAUUCCACUCGGCCACACUCUGCUCCACUUUGAUUCACAUUACUUUACUCACCACUCAACUACGCGCCUAGCACAAUAAUUUUUCGCACAAAAUAAAACACUUUUUCUACAAUAACACAAUAAAACUAAUUUGUUACAAAAUAGGAGCAACAAAAAAAAAAAAAAAAACAAAUCGACCGAACAAAGUAAAUAUUUAAAUUGCACUCAUGCCAA